rnacentral:rRNA from 1 species
UUGGAGGGCAAGUCUGGUGCCAGCAGCCGCGGUAAUUCCAGCUCCAAUAGCGCAUAUUAAAGUUGUUGCAGUUAAAAAGCUCGUCGUUGAAUUUCGGGAUUAGUACGUCGGUCGUGCCUUAGGUACGUACUGGUGUUACUGGUUCCUACCUUCUGACGAACCAUCAUGUCAUUAAUUUGGUGUGGCGGGGAAUCAGGACUGUUACUUUGAAAAAAUUAGAGUGUUUAAAGCAGGCUCGCGCUUGAAUACAUUAGCAUGGAAUAAUGAAAUAGGACGUUGAUCCUAUUUUGUUGGUUUCUAGGAUUGACGUAAUGAUUAAUAGGGAUAGUUGGGGGCAUUAGUAUUCAAUUGUCAGAGGUGAAAUUCUUGGAUUUAUUGAAGACUAACUACUGCGAAAGCAUUUGCCAAGGAUGUUUUCAUUAAUCAAGAACGAAAGUUAGGGGAUCGAAGACGAUCAGAUACCGUCGUAGUCUUAACCAUAAACUAUGCCGACUAGGGAUCGGAUGAUGUUAAUUUUUUAAUGACUCAUUCGGCGCCUUACGGGAAAC